AUUGAACGCUGGCGGCAUGCCUUACACAUGCAAGUCGAACGGCAGCACGGGCUUCGGUCUGGUGGCGAGUGGCGAACGGGUGAGUAAUGUAUCGGAACGUACCUUUCAGUGGGGGAUAACGUAGCGAAAGUUACGCUAAUACCGCAUAUUCUGUGAGCAGGAAAGCAGGGGAUCGCAAGACCUUGCGCUGAUUGAGCGGCCGAUAUCCGAUUAGCUAGUUGGUGAGGUAAAGGCUCACCAAGGCGACGAUCUGUAGCGGGUCUGAGAGGAUGAUCCGCCACACUGGAACUGAGACACGGUCCAGACUCCUACGGGAGGCAGCAGUGGGGAAUUUUGGACAAUGGGGGCAACCCUGAUCCAGCCAUGCCGCGUGAGUGAAGAAGGCCUUCGGGUUGUAAAGCUCUUUCGGCCGGGAAGAAAUCGCAUGGGUUAAUACCCUGUGCGGAUGACGGUACCGGCAUAAGAAGCACCGGCUAACUACGUGCCAGCCGCCGCGGUAAGAC
rnacentral:rRNA from 1 species